ACUCCUACGGGAGGCAGCAGUGGGGAAUAUUGCACAAUGGGGGAAACCCUGAUGCAGCCAUGCCGCGUGUGUGAAGAAGGCCUUCGGGUUGUAAAGCACUUUCAGUAGGGAGGAAGGUAGUGUAGUUAACACCUGCACUAUUUGACGUUACCUACAGAAGAAGCACCGGCUAACUCCGUGCCAGCAGCCGCGGUAAUACGGAGGGUGCGAGCGUUAAUCGGAAUUACUGGGCGUAAAGCGCAUGCAGGCGGCCUGUUAAGUCAGAUGUGAAAGCCCGGGGCUUAACCUCGGAAUUGCAUUUGAAACUGGCAGGCUAGAGUCUUGUAGAGGGGGGUAGAAUUUCAGGUGUAGCGGUGAAAUGCGUAGAGAUCUGAAGGAUACCAGUGGCGAAGGCGGCCCCCUGGACAAAGACUGACGCUCAGAUGCGAAAGCGUGGGGGAGC
rnacentral:rRNA from 1 species